AUUUGUAACCAAAAAAAAAAAAAUUUGCCCGAGAGAAGUCGUCUCUCUCUUUCUCAUCAUUCUCCGUCGGCAAAAUCGCAAAUCAUUAUGGUAUUUAGAUUUGAGAAAUUGGAAUCGAUAGUUGAGGGGAAAUAUGAUGCGUUGUUGGAUUGUUUCAAGCAAUUGGAGCAAGGUUUAUCACGUCGUAAUGGAUCUCACAAGAUCCUAAUUUCUCACAUCCUUCAGUUCAGGUGUAGAUACUUGUGGCUGACUAAUUGAAAGAUUCUUUAGACUUGGAGACUUCAACGAUACUGAGAAACUGGAAUUUGUGUCUAGGAGUUUAACUGUGAGGUGAAGCAUUCUCUCUAUUUGUUAGCUAGCUAGCAUGGUUUUCAAGACAUAAUGGUGGUCAGAUCUCACAAGGAGAAGGAAGCCAAAUGCAAAAACAGAUUGGAAGAAAACCUGAAAACUUCUAAGGUAGAAGAAGAAGGAUAUUCUCUCUUCUUGGUGAUGAAUACUCCAAGAGAUGAAGUGGUGAAGAACCAGAUUCGUCACAAGUUCGAGAGAGAACUAAUACACGUCUCUAGACACUAUACUCAAGGUUAAUUUUCUAAGGGGUUUUGGCUGCGGGUACGAAGAUUACUUGGAACUAGAAAAGAGUCUUCUUAGUGAGCAGCAAGAAGGUUUGUGAGUGGCUAAGAGGAUUUUGAUAUACGAUCACUGUCCCUUGUCUUCUAAUUAACACUUAACAUCUUGCAUGAAUUUUGGAUAUGGUGCAAGACAGUGUCAAGACAUUGAUAGUUAUUUGUUCCUUAUUGUUCUUGUUUUUCUCGUUCCUUCACAUGUUCUGCAGUUUUUGAUAUGUUCUUUGUCCAUUUGUAACAGUUGGAUAAUAACGAUUAAGUAAAAUGCAUAGUUUACAAACCU